rnacentral:rRNA from 1 species
UACGGAGGAGGCAAGCGUUAUCCGGAAUUAUUGGGCGUAAAGCGUCCGUAGGUGGCUCUUCAAGUCUGCUGUCAAAGAGUGGGGCUUAACCCUGCAAAGGCAGUGGAAACUGAAAGGCUAGAGAGCCGUAGGGGUAGAGGGAAUUCCCGGUGUAGCGGUGAAAUGCGUAGAGAUGCGGAGGAACACCGAUGGCGAAGGCAGCCUCCUGGGAUAACACUGACGCUCAUGCACGAAAGCGUGGGGAGCAAACAGG